rnacentral:rRNA from 1 species
CCUACGGGUGACAGCAGUGGGGAAUAUUGGUCAAUGGGCGUAAGCCUGACCCAGCCACGUCGCGUGAGGGAUGAAGGCUUUCUGGUUCUUAACUUCCUUUUACAGGGAAGUGUAGAAGACGGUGUCUGUUGUAUUAGCCACGUCUAACUAAGUGCCAUCAGCUACGGUAAUACGGCGGUGGCAUGCGUUGUCCGGAUUGCCUGGGUGUAAAGGGCGUGUUGCCUGUCUGACAAGUCAGUGGUGAAAUUCUGUGGCUUAACCGCAGAAUUGCAGUUGAAACUGUUGAUCUUGAGUAUGUGAGAGGCAGACGGAAUGCCUAGUGUAGCGGUGAAAUGCGUAGAGAUUACGAGGAACACCAGUGGCGAAGGCGGUCUGCUAGGCAGUGACUGACGGUGAGGCGCGAAAGCGUGGGGAGCAAACAGGAUUAGAUACCCGUGUAGUC